rnacentral:lncRNA from 1 species
UUAAUAAAUCAUAUUAUCCUCUCUCUCUCUCUCAUCAAAUUACCUUGUCAAGUUGUUUUGGUGAAGGCAACCCAAAAGGACCAUGCACAACCGGGUCAAGUACAUACCAAAUAUAGUUAUGGGCUUAGACACCAAUCCAACAGUCUCCCACUUGGAUAAGUCUAGUAACUAUAUCUUACAUAUGUCUUCAGGAUCCGAUAAGCAAUCGUAGCUCUUAUACGCUGUUGUCAACUCUGAUCAAAAUCUUGUCCUUCAGAUAAAUGAUCGUAUAAUCCUAUGUUCUAGAUAUCAUGCUUACAAUACUUGUUGUCUAACAUUUUGUUCCUCGAUUUCUGAUUUAUUCGACAUAGAAUUUAGUUGAACUCAUCAACUUCAUCCUGACAGGGCUCGACACAUAAGUCAAACCAAAUCAUCGAGUGGCCAGAUAUCGCUUUUAUCCUCUUAGAAUAAAAGGAACAGAAAAACUUUGACUUAAAUGCUUUUAUCAUUCACUAGUUAAGUCACACACAAUAAUGUGUUUUAUAACAUCAAGUUACUGAUGCGUUUUCGCAUUAUCAUUGUAUAAUCAACUAGCAAACAAUAACCAUAUCUCUAGGUUUAAAGAUUAUAUGAUUUUAUCAUCUUGCGAUCACUCGUGAUACCUCUAAUGAAGUGAAACCAGCAAGCGUGGGUUUAUUCCAAUGGUCAAAUCAUAUUUCAUAAGCACUCAUGAACUUUGUAGCAAUCCUUUGCUAUGUCUAAAACCUUUCAUAAAAUCCACAAACAAAUUCAUGACAAUCUUCCUUCAUAUCUACUUCCAACAUAUGAACGAUUGUGGACUGUUUGAAUAAUCUUAUUAUUCAGGAAGUCAAAACAUGCAAAAUAGAAACAAUACAUAAAUAAUCAACACAAGAUAGUAACCUUUCUUAUAAAUAAUACACCUUUAUUUAAUCAUCAAAUGUUGAAUACAAAAUUAUCUAUUACAAGUUUCAUACCAAUCUAAUCUAAACUAAUAUCGUCCUUUAGCCCAACGCUCCUAGCAUGCUGCAAAUGUUUGACCCUACUCAGUCCCUUCGUAACGGGAUCUACUGGGUUAUCUUCUGAUGAUACCCUAUUCACAAGGAGGAGUCACUCUUCUACCCGAUGUCUAAUAAAAUGGUAUUUUCUGUCGAUAUGUCGAGAUCUGUCAUGAUCCCUUGGUUCCUUGGUUAAGGCAACCGCUCCUUCAUUAUCACAGAAAAUUUCCAUGGGCUCCUUUAUGGAUGGAACAACUCCAAGGUCUCCAAUGAAGUUCUUCAACCAUAUAGCCUCUUUCGACGCUUUGCUUGCCACAAUGUACUCUGAUUCGCACGUUGAAUCAGCCACGGUCUCUUGCUUAGAACUUUUCUAAGACACUGCUCCUCCGUUCACGGUAAAGACCCAGCCCGAAUGUGAUCGGUAAUUAUCCCGAUCUGUCUGAAAACUAGCGUCACUAUACCCUCGCACCCUUAAGUCAUCACUCCCACCGAGGACUAGAAACCAUUCCUUGGUCCUUCGUAGGUACUUAAGAAUAUUCUUGAUAGCAAUCCAAUGUACUCUACUAGGGUUCCCUUGAUAUCUGCUGACCAUGCUCAAAGCGAAGGCCACAUCAGGGCGAGUACAAGUCAUAGCGUACAUGAUAGAGCCAACUGCGGAAGCGUAAGGUACUCGGCUCAUAUCUGAUAUUUCUGCCUCUGUACUCGGGCAUUGAGUCUUACUCAACUUGGCAUUGCUUUGGAUUGGCAACUCCCCUUUCUUGGAAUUUCCAUACUAAAACGCUUUAGUACCUUAUCCAAGUAUGUAUCCUGACUGAGUCCUAUCAGUCUCUUACUUAUGUUUCUUAUUAUCCUUAUUCCCAGAAUAUACGUAGCCUCUCCGAGGUCCUUCAUAGCGAAACACUUCCUAAGCCAGGACUUGACCUCCUGCAAGGUUGGGAUGUCAUUUCCUAUGAGUAAUAUGUCAUCGACAUACAAUACGAGGAAGCUCACUAUACUCCCAUUGGCCUUGACAUACACACAUGACUCAUCUUCGCUUCGCAGAAAGCCAAACUCUCUGACCUUCUCGUCAAAACAAAGAUUCCAUCUGCGAGAUGCUUGCUUCAAUCCAUAAAUGGAUUUCUCAAGCUUACACACUCUAUUUGGAUGCUUCGCAUUGACAAAACCCUCUAGCUGAUUCAUGUAAACAUCCUCAGCCAACUUUCCAUUAAGAAAAGCAGUUUUCACGUCCAUCUGCCAUAUUUCAUAAUCAUAGACUUUAUCUUGGCAACUGGCGAGAAGGUAUCAUCAUAGUCAACUCCAGGAGUUUGAGUAAAGCCCUUCGCAACCAAUAGUGCUUUAUAAGUGUGCACAUUCCCAUCCAUGUCUGUCUUCUUCUUGAAGAUCCACUUACACCCGACUGUCUUACGAUCUGGCACAUUAUCAACCAAAUUCCAAACUUGGUUGUUGUGCAUGGAUUGAAUCUCACUGUCCAUUGCCUCUUUCCACAUAGCAGACUCCGGGCCUGCCACGGCUUCCUUGUAGCUGCUAGGUUCGUCCAAAUUUACUAGUGUGCUAUCACUAAUAACUGUAUCCCCUUCAGCAGUAAUAUGGAAUCCAUACAACUGGGGUGGAACACUAGCCCUACUGGAAUGUCUAAGAGGUAAGGACUCGUCAACAGGUUCAACAGGAGUUUCCUCCUCAGGUUGAGUGAAGUUCCUUCAUCGCUAUGCUCUUGAAUCUCUUCAAGAUCAAUUUGCCAAACAUUAAUAGAACCAUUACUAUUAUCAAAUGAAUAUCUGAAACCUUGUUUAUAUAAUCCAUGAAAAGAAAUGAUGUUACUUGCCAUAUCUGACGAAUAGCAACAAUUAUUUAAAUCUAAUCCUAACCCAUUACUCAACGCUAAAGAAUAAACUCCGACUCUGGUCACAGGUGACGAUCUACUGUUUCCCAUAAUCAAGUUUAUCUUCCUAUGUUCAACCUCCCUACUUCUUCUUAGGCCACACAAAUUAGAAAAAAUGUGGAAACCACAUCCUGUAUUAAGAACCCAUGAAGUAGCAAGUGAUGAGUUGUUAGAUUUAAUAGAAUACAUACAUACAUAGGUGGGCUUUAUCUUCCCAUCUCUAAUGUCCUGCAGAUAUUUUGGGCAGCUUCGUUUCCAACGGCCCUUCUCGUGGCAAUAGAAGCACCCUACUUCCUUAGGGUCAGAGGAGGGUUUAGCAGAACCUGCUUUGGUCCCACUAGAGGAUGAAUCAUCACAGGAAUUUACCUUUUGGUGGCUCUUUGAAGGAGCCUUCCUCUUCUUUCCCUUCCCUUGGCCAAUUGCCAACACAGGAGAAGCCACAGCAAAGGAUGAUGCAACAGAUUUGUCCUUGAGGUUGCUCUCAGCAGUCCUCAGCAGUCCUUGAAGCUUACUCAAGGAGACCUCCUCGUUAUUCAUGUAGUAGGUCAUUCUAAACUGGUUGUAGCAGGAAGGCAAUGAGUGGAGGAUGAUAUCGAUAGCCAAAUCCUCAUCAAACUUAACAUUAAGUUUGAGAAGACGAUCAACAUACCUCUGCAUUUUCUGCAAAUAUGAGGUUAGGGAUUCUCCACUCCCCAUCUUAGUGGUGAUCAUGUUAGUAAUGAUCUCAUAACGCUCUUCUCUNCUUCCCUCGCGCUUUGGUGGUAUCUGUCCAGCAAAUCUUGAUGCAUCUCAUAUGGGUAUAUGUCUUCAUAGGACUUUUGGAGUUCGAGGUUCAUGGUGGCCAGCAUGAUGCAAUGAACUUUCGUAGCAUCACGCUCGUGGGCCUCAAAGGCAGCCAACUCUUCAGGAGUAAAAACAUCUGGGUUGAUCUUUUUAAGUUUCUCAUCGAGGACAUAUUCUUUGUUCUAAUAACGAUUGAUCAUACGAAUGUAUCUCAUCCACUCGUUGAAAUUCGACACAUCAAAUGUCACCUUUUGGCAUAGGUUCAUUAGCGAGAAUGACCCAGAAGCGUUGUUGUUUGCGUUUGCAUUAGACAUCUAAAAUAGAAAGGAAUAAACUUUGAUUAGAAAUGAAUCCGCAAUUAAACACCCAAAUGAGAAAUUAGGGCUAGGAUCCAACAGCAUUAUUUACAACUUAGAAAAGGGAUGACGUAAUCUAAAAGUAAAUAAUUUGAAGGUAAGUGAAUGACGAUUCACUAAUUUUCACCAUGAAAAACGAAAAUGAAGAUUAAGUUUUAAAUGUAUUUGAAAACUCCUAGAUCUUUUAGAUUCAUUGAACUUUUCAAUAGCAUGUUUAAAUCUCGAUAUGCACUUCAAAUUUACGACUGGGAUACCGAGGAUCGCAGACAAGUUGUGAAUAACCAUGCGAACCAACAUGGUACACUCAAUGUCUCUAUCACCCAAUUAAUGUGCUGAUUAGCCACGCACGUUCCAUUGAUCUAUGAUAAACAUCGAGCCACCCUUCGCCACCAAUGUCAAUCCCAAAUUAGUAUGUCGGUUAACCACGCACGCUCCACUAACGUUUGACAAAGGUGCAAAGUGUAAUUCCAUGGAAUAGCAUCAUUUUCACAUUUUACCCUAAAGUAACUAAGAUUGGGAAUUUGUAAAACAUUAUAGUUACUUUGUAAAUUCAUUAUACUUGUAAUGAGGAAUUAAGUGCCCUAUCUUAUUCGUUCGGCUAACGACCCUCCACCAGUCAAGCAAGUGGUGGGUGUGAGUGUACACCCAUUAAACAUCAUUUUAUAGGCAGCAACCUUAUACCCACCUUAUAGACUAGCUUCGUGAAUGAGGCCUACUAGCGAUAAGACUAGCUUAUUCUUAUAUAUAUAUANNNNNNNNNNNNNNNNNNNNNNNNNNNNNNNNNNNNNNNNNNNNNNNNNNNNNNNNNNNNNNNNNNNNNNNNNNNNNNNNNNNNNNNNNNNNNNNNNNNNNNNNNNNNNNNNNNNNNNNNNNNNNUAAGGGUUGAAAUUUGAAAUUUUCAAAAUUAAACUCUUAAUCAAAAUUUAAAUUUCAAAACUUGAGGGCAAGUUUUGAACUUUUCAAAACAUAAGGGAUAAAAUAACAAAUAAUAUAAAUCUCACAAUUAAUUCAAUGAUUAUCUAUAUUUGACCUAUUCUUGCAAGAUAAGUUACCCAAUUAAUUCAAAUAAUCAAUUUUUAAGCACAUAAGGAAUUUAUUAUUUAAUGAAUUGGUAAUUAUCUUUUGUUUUUGGCAAGGAUAGUGUUACAAUGACAUUAAAAUUCAAAUUUUAUCAGUAAAAGCAGAUUAGGCAACUAUCCCUCAGCAAAAACAACAAGAAAUCCCGAGAAUGCCUCUGUCUGACGAUCCAACUCGCCGAGUCACUCAUGGACUCGCCGAGUUCAUGAAGUGACUCACCGAGUCAUGUCGAACAGAAGCUAGAAAAACGAUUUUCCGCAUGUUAAUCAUACAAAGCAUCCAUACAACAGAAACCAAUCAUGGCUUUGAUACCACUGAUGGGUUUUAUGCAUAAGAACAAUCGUAUGUGCUCAUACAAACCCUAAUGCUUGGAUCUAGGUUUCUCUAAUGUACAUGCAAUGAAUCCAAGACAUACAAACCCUAACCUAGCAUACAUAUUUCAUAAUUUAACAUAUAGAAUCAGAUCUAGAUGUUUACCUCUUCAAUGGAAGCUUGAAUCUUCUUUCUUGGAGCUUAGAGUCACAAUUGUAACUCCUCUAAUGGCUUACAAACACCACAAACAAGAAGGAAACUAUGAGAGAGGAGGGAGGAUGCUUAAUUUCAGUCUAGGGUUUCUCUUGGGAAGCAAGUGGCCGAAAAUUGAUGGCUAGGGGGCUUAUUUAUACUAUAGGCUGCUAGGGUUUCAGUCUAAACCCUAAUGGACAACUUAGUAACCAAGUAGCCCAUGGAACCUUCUGGACUAGGGCCUUAGACGAAAACAUGAUGAUCCUUCAUCAUAAUUUCGUUCUCCCUUAGUCCAUUAGGUUUCCCAGCCCAAAACUCAACUAUCAUACAUUUGACAAUUUAUGCCCUUUUAUUUAAUUAAUCUCUUUUAGUCACCAAAUUAAUUCCUAAUUAUUUUUAUGACUAAUACUAACUAAAUAAAUAUGAUUUCUCCUUUAAUAUAUUAUUCUUAUAAUAUAUUAAUAAAUCAUAUUAUCCUUUCUCUCUCUCUCUCAUCAGAUUACCUUGUCAAGUUGCUUUGGUGAAGGCAACCCAAAAUGACCAUGCACAACCAGGUCAAGUACAUACCAAAUAUAGUUACGAGCUUAGACACUACUCCAACAUAUACUACCUUUCACGCGAAUUCAUACUUGUUCCAAGAAAUGCCCCAAAUUUCCCAAGUCACUACAUAUGGUAACCACAAAGCAAUUUAA